GACAAUUCCAAGGGGCGCUGGCGCAAGCCGGCUGAGAUCGGGGCGUAACGCCGUCCCAGUCCCUCGAACCUGAUCCGGGUAAUGCCGGCGUAGGAAUGCGAAGGAUAUUGAUG
rfam:Firmicutes bacterium CAG:129 genomic scaffold, scf379